rnacentral:rRNA from 1 species
GACGAACGCUGGCGGCGUGCCUAAUACAUGCAAGUAGGACGCACAGUCUAUACCGUAGCUUGCUACACCAUAGGCUGUGAGUUGCGAACGGGUGAGUAACGCGUAGGUAACCUGCCUAUUAGAGGGGGAUAACUAUUGGAAACGAUAGCUAAUACCGCAUAACAGUAUGUAACACAUGUUAGAUGCUUGAAAGAUGCAAUUGCAUCGCUAGUAGAUGGACCUGCGUUGUAUUAGCUAGUAGGUAGGGUAAUGGCCUACCUAGGCGACGAUACAUAGCCGACCUGAGAGGGUGAUCGGCCACACUGGGACUGAGACACGGCCCAGACUCCUACGGGAGGCAGCAGUAGGGAAUCUUCGGCAAUGGGGGGAACCCUGACCGAGCAACGCCGCGUGAGUGAAGAAGGUUGUCGGAUCGUAAAGCUCUGUUGUUAAGGAAGAACGAGUGUGAGAAUGGAAAGUUCAUACUGUGACGGUACUUAACCAGAAAGGGACGGCUAACUACGUG